rnacentral:rRNA from 1 species
UACGUAGGGUGCAAGCGUUAAUCGGAAUUACUGGGCGUAAAGCGUGCGCAGGCGGUUUUGUAAGUUUGUCGUGAAAUCCCCGGGCUUAACCUGGGAAUUGCGAUGAAGACUGCAAGGCUAGAAUCUGGCAGAGGGGGGUAGAAUUCCACGUGUAGCAGUGAAAUGCGUAGAGAUGUGGAGGAACACCGAUGGCGAAGGCAGCCUCCUGGGCCAAUACUGACGCUCAUGCACGAAAGCGUGGGGAGCAAACAGG